rnacentral:antisense_RNA from 1 species
UUGGCGGCAAACCAAGACUUGAGCAACGCUCCUUAGUCAUUGUAAGACAAAUCAAGCCACGUCCAUGGGUAGCCAUAAAAUUGAUCGCUUCCGGCGUGAUAUGCUCGGCAGCCAUGAUCA